UAAGUAAACUAGGUGUUCUUUUGUCAUCUACAAACUGCAUUGUUUCGCCACUGGUAAUUAGUUGCUUACAAUGCACUCCUUCCUGCUUUAGAGUUCAAGUAUAAAAAAUUUACAAAAAUCAAACUCACACCCAGUUCAAUCAAUCCGGCCAAUUUUUUUGGCAAUCCAGCCUGGCAGCAACUGAUGCUCUUUUGGCUGCAGAAAUUGGGGAAACAAGCCAAAAUGAAUGAAGGCAAGGAAAGAGCCAGGUGGCGAGUGGGCAAUGGCAACACCUGUCCUUAUCCAGCUGAGCUCACUGGAUUUGCUCUGCAAUUGCUUGCUUGCGCCCACAACAUGUCAAAACCUGCAAUCAUCGCCAGUGCUCGAAAGCAAUUGAGGCCCCCCCUGCAAUCAUCUCCUUCCAAAGAUUUUAAGAAAAGGGUGAAAAAGAAGCAGCAAAGGCUAGAGGAGAGGAACUACAAAGCCAACAAGUGAGGUGCCAUUUGAUCCUGUUCUUCCCUCUGCAGCACAGCACCAGAAAGAUCCCUAGUCCUCCCAUCCCCACCACACACACACUUCGGUAUCCCCAAACUCCCACUCACUCCUCCCCCGUCACAUCGUCCACCCAAUGCGGCAUAUAAAUCCCAGAUCCAGAUCUCCCACCCCCUCACUUCCCUCUUGCUAUACACAUCAUCCAUACAUAUGCUCUACAUGUAUCCGUCCGCAUACCUAAUCUCUCGCAGGUGUUUCUCGUGUUGUUUCGUUGUUGUACCCGUUCUAAUUCAGUUUCUUGCAUCGAUGCAAGUUUUACUCUUUGUCAGACUAUAUCUAUGGGUGGUGUCUGGGCGCAGUGGUUUAUCGAUCCCUUCCUUGCCUUGUGCUGAUCUGGAGUGCUGAUAUUCUUGGGAGAUGUUUCUUGGUGCAGCUUACAACAACGCGGGAACCGAUCGAUAAACCUCUGCAUCCAGCUCCCACUUUGGUUAAGGACACGAGGCGGCAGUCAGUGACUGCUGCUUCUUGCCUUCUUGGUUCGUGCUCAUGGGUUUAUGUCUAAUGUCUCAGAAGCUAUGCUUGAUAUUCCUGUGGUGAUGUAGUUCUUGCAUGAAUUAACUUACAGAUCGAUCGAGAUUACAUGUGUACUUCAAACAGCUUCAUUUGUCGUGAUGUUUACUUGAUGGAUAUGCUUGUUAUUAGUUACAUAGUUGAUGCAUAAGCAAUAUAGCAUGCCUAUUUUUUUUCUGAAACAAACAUGGCAUGCCUGCUAGUACACAAGAAUCUGGGGUCAGUUUAUGUUUCCUCAUGCUAAUAAAAUGUUAAUAAUGUGUGGUUCUGAUUAGAUGAUGCUUGUAUUACUUUCGGGCCUAUUUUAUACUCACAAAGUGUUAUGGUUGGUUAGAGGUUUCUUGGCUAGUCUGGAUUGGAACUAAGAACCAUUUAGGGAAGAUGGAUACCCAAUGGAUCUUGUUUGCUGCCGUCAUGCCUGGAAUAAGUUCCAGUUUGUUGGGGGUGAAUCAAUUCAGGACACGCCUCAAUGGUUCAGAGAUUGCGUACUGAACUCUUUCAUUAUAUUCUUUUCUCUUGGAUUGUAAAAUUGGUGGCCAUCAGCUAUCUUUGGGUUCAACAAUAUUGAAGAACUUUAUUUCAGUACGUGAAGCUUAAACCAAUUGUUAUUCUAACGAGGUUAUAACAAGGUAAGAGUAAGAGACAUAAGCUCUUCCCAGAAAAUUGGAGUUAGAAUCAGUUGCUUGUCUUCGAUGCAUAUUCUCAUGAAGGAGAGUUGGAAGUAAUCUGAACAGAAAGAAAGCAUGGAUGGUGAUAGCAUGACUUUACACUGCAGAUGUUACUCAUUUAUCUCUUUUGUUAUGAACAUAUAUUUUACCCUUUUCUCUCGCCUCUGCAGUACAUCCUACCUUAUCUUUUGCACGUUUAUAAUUAUAAAAUGCGUAGAUGUACAAUCAGAUAUCAUCAGAUUUAUGACUGAUCACUGCUGGCAAGUGAUUUCAGUAGCAUUGUUCAAUCAGUUAGCAUGUUUCUUUCUCUCUUUUUUUUUUGGAGAGAGAAGUAGUUAGCAGUGAGUCCAAUACAUAUUACUUGUACUUUUGAGACCGUGAAACCUGGCGAUCUUGCGAUACUAUGCAGACUUGCAGA